rnacentral:rRNA from 1 species
AAUUUUUCGCAAUGGGCGAAAGCCUGACGGAGCAAUACCGCGUGGGGGAAGAAGGUUUUUGGAUUGUAAACCCCUUUUCUCAGGGAAGAAGAACUGACGGUACCUGAGGAAUAAGCAUCGGCUAACUCCGUGCCAGCAGCCGCGGUAAGACGGAGGAUGCAAGCGUUAUCCGGAAUUAUUGGGCGUAAAGCGUCCGCAGGUGGUUUCACAAGUCUGCUGUUAAAGACUGGGGCUUAACUCCAGAGCGGCGGUGGAAACUGUGAGACUAGAGUGUGGUAGGGGCAGAGGGAAUUCCAGGUGUAGCGGUGAAAUGCGUAGAUAUCUGGAAGAACACCAGUGGCGAAGGCGCUCUGCUGGGCCAUAACUGACA